rnacentral:rRNA from 1 species
AUUGAACGCUGGCGGCAGGCCUAACACAUGCGAGUCGAACGGUAACAGGAAGCAGCUUGCUGCUUUGCUGACGAGUGGCGGACGGGUGAGUAAUGUCUGGGAAACUGCCUGAUGGAGGGGGAUAACUACUGGAAACGGUAGCUAAUACCGCAUAACGUCGCAAGACCAAAGAGGGGGACCUUCGGGCCUCUUGCCAUCGGAUGUGCCCAGAUGGGAUUAGCUAGUAGGUGGGGUAAAGGCUCACCUAGGCGACGAUCCCUAGCUGGUCUGAGAGGAUGACCAGCCACACUGGAACUGAGACACGGUCCAGACUCCUACGGGAGGCAGCAGUGGGGAAUAUUGCACAAUGGGCGCAAGCCUGAUGCAGCCAUGCCGCGUGUAUGAAGAAGGCCUUCGGGUUGUAAAGUACUUUCAGCGGGGAGGAAGGGAGUAAAGUUAAUACCUUUGCUCAUUGACGUUACCCGCAGAAGAAGCACCGGCUAACUCCGUG